CAUGCAAGUAGAACGCUGAAGAGAGGAGCUUGCUCUUCUUGGAUGAGUUGCGAACGGGUGAGUAACGCGUAGGUAACCUGCCUUGUAGCGGGGGAUAACUAUUGGAAACGAUAGCUAAUACCGCAUAACAAUGGAUGACCCAUGUCAUUUAUUUGAAAGGGGCAAAUGCUCCACUACAAGAUGGACCUGCGUUGUAUUAGCUAGUAGGUGAGGUAACGGCUCACCUAGGCGACGAUACAUAGCCGACCUGAGAGGGUGAUCGGCCACACUGGGACUGAGACACGGCCCAGACUCCUACGGGAGGCAGCAGUAGGGAAUCUUCGGCAAUGGGGGCAACCCUGACCGAGCAACGCCGCGUGAGUGAAGAAGGUUUUCGGAUCGUAAAGCUCUGUUGUAAGUCAAGAACGAGUGUGAGAGUGGAAAGUUCACACUGUGACGGUAGCUUACCAGAAAGGGACGGCUAACUACGUGCCAGCAGCCGCGGUAAUACGUAGGUCCCGAGCGUUGUCCGGAUUUAUUGGGCGUAAAGCGAGCGCAGGCGGUUUGAUAAGUCUGAAGUUAAAGGCUGUGGCUCAACCAUAGUUCGCUUUGGAAACUGUCAAACUUGAGUGCAGAAGGGGAGAGUGGAAUUCCAUGUGUAGCGGUGAAAUGCGUAGAUAUAUGGAGGAACACCGGUGGCGAAAGCGGCUCUCUGGUCUGUAACUGACGCUGAGGCUCGAAAGCGUGGGGAGCGAACAGGAUUAGAUACCCUGGUAGUCCACGCCGUAAACGAUGAGUGCUAGGUGUUGGAUCCUUUCCGGGAUUCAGUGCCGCAGCUAACGCAUUAAGCACUCCGCCUGGGGAGUACGACCGCAAGGUUGAAACUCAAAGGAAUUGACGGGGGCCCGCACAAGCGGUGGAGCAUGUGGUUUAAUUCGAAGCAACGCGAAGAACCUUACCAGGUCUUGACAUCCCGAUGCUAUUUCUAGAGAUAGAAAGUUACUUCGGUACAUCGGUGACAGGUGGUGCAUGGUUGUCGUCAGCUCGUGUCGUGAGAUGUUGGGUUAAGUCCCGCAACGAGCGCAACCCCUAUUGUUAGUUGCCAUCAUUCAGUUGGGCACUCUAGCGAGACUGCCGGUAAUAAACCGGAGGAAGGUGGGGAUGACGUCAAAUCAUCAUGCCCCUUAUGACCUGGGCUACACACGUGCUACAAUGGUUGGUACAACGAGUUGCGAGUCGGUGACGGCAAGCUAAUCUCUUAAAGCCAAUCUCAGUUCGGAUUGUAGGCUGCAACUCGCCUACAUGAAGUCGGAAUCGCUAGUAAUCGCGGAUCAGCACGCCGCGGUGAAUACGUUCCCGGGCCUUGUACACACCGCCCGUCACACCACGAGAGUUUGUAACACCCGAAGUCGGUGAGGUAACCUUUGGAGCCAGCCGCCUAAAGUG
rnacentral:rRNA from 1 species